AGGUGGCUGCUGCAAAGACCAGGAACAGUCAGUGUCUAGAGGAGCUGCCUAUGAGAAACAUUGAGCAGGAGCUUUGGUACCAUCACCAGACACAGGAAACCUGUCAUGGUCUGCCAUGAGGGCCUGGAGAGAGCACAGUGUAUUUAAUCUGUGCACAGCCAGAGAGCUCCCAGCUCGCAAGUUCCAGACAGAGUCUUCUCCAGCUUCCCUGCAGCCCCUUCAGACUCUGGAAGAUGCUCUGAAGUCUCCACACAACCUUCUCUUCCCCAUGCUGAACAACCACAGCUUUCCCAGCCUGUUUUCAAAGGUGAGGUGCUCCAGUCCUCUUAUCGAUGUUGUGCCUCCUCUGGACUUGUUCCAACAAUUCCAUAUCCUUCUUAUCUUGGGGACACCAGACCUGGACACAGCACUGCAGGUGGGGUCUCACCAGAGCAGAGUAGAGGUGGAGAAUCUCCUCCUUGGACCUGCUGCCCAUGUUCCUUUUGAUGGAAGCCAGGACAGAGUUGGUUUCUGGGCUGUGGGUGCUCACUGCCAGUUCACGUUGAGUUUUUCCUCAGCUAUCACCCCCAGGUCUUUCUCUGCAGGGCUGCUCCAAUCCCUUCCCCACCCAACCUGUAGGUGUGUCUGGGAUUGCCCUGGUGCAGGACUUUGUACUUCACUUUGUGGAACUUCAUGAAGUUCCCACCAGCCCCACCUCUCAGGGCUGCCAAGGUCCCUUCUGUGGGGUGUGACACACCACAGCUGUGGCACUGCAAGCUGACCUCAGCUCUGCACACCAGGGACCAGGUGUGGCCUUUGGUUCACAUCAGCAGCUGCCAACAGCUGAGUGGAUCAACUGCUGGUCUGAAUACUUCCCCCAGUCACACACGGAGAGGGGGAAUUAAACAUUAUCCCCUCCAUGUGUGGGAUGGCUAAAAGAACCUGGGCAGAGAGCACUGGACUCUGACAUAUAAGAUGUGAUGAAAUCCAGGAGAGCAUUUCAUUAACCCACACCACAGCUAUUAACAUUUAUCUACCUACAAAAUCCUGUUACACAAAGUUUUGUUUCACAGAGGAACUCUAUCAAGCCUCUCAGGAAUGGAUUCCAGUUUUAGAAGUGUGUAGAAAGUGCAUCAGCCUGUUCCUCACCCCAAAAGCCCUCUGCCCAACAUAGCAUUCAGGAGGGUGGAACCUCUGAACUUGCUCCCAGCGCAGCAGCUGAUUGUAUCUGGUGUUGAGAACACAGCAUUGCUUCUAUGGAAUUCCAGGCUGUUUUCCCAAAUACAUUAAUGCAGUGUUGGAAGAAAAAGAGUGGAAUUAGUGAGAUGAAAGUACAUACAGAAAAUGCCUCCACCACAAGCAGUCUCCAACGGUGUUUGCAACUUAAUGAGAGGGUGUGUAAGAAGCUCCCACAGCCUGAAGGUCACUGGGAUGUGGACUGCUUAGCACAGAAAACAAAGCACCCAACAACAUUCCCUGUGCCUUCAUCCACAGAGCAAACGUGUUCUUCCAUUUCCACAGCUCCCUUACACAGUGUUGGCUGUCAAACACUGCAGUGCCACACUGCCCCACUGACCUCCCCUUGCCCAUAAACCCCACUGCUGACUGCUUCUCACAGGUGUGGUUGUGAUGCCUGACACUGCGCUUGGUUCCAGAUCAAAAUCAUCUCCCUCUAAAAAUGAAUUAUGGAUGCAGGGAGAUCCAACAGAGGCACUGAGGUAAGAAAAGCUGUAUUCAUGAGAACUCAAAAGGAAGACAAAGUUUCUGCUUGCAUACUCUUAGAAUGGAAGCCCAUCCUCUCCACAAAAAAUAGGUCCUCCCACACAGUGACACAUGUCAUCUGUCAUUUUAAGGCAGCUCGGCCCAACCUAGACUGUUCAAAGGGGAACAGAUCAGGGAAGAGAAAACCUACAGGAGAAACCAAGGACCCAGUGCUUUCAGGGUAGCAAAAAGAUGACCCAGGAAUGUGAUAGUGUGACACAAAUGUCAUUUGCUGAAGGAUCACAUAGGCUAAAGAAGAGCUGAUGGUCCAGGGGGCAGAGCAUAGUACAGUGUAUCAUGUUGGUGUACACAGGAGGAAGUGCUUUAUCUUCUAGUGAAAAAUAAAAACUUUAAAGAUAUCAGAUUUGAAAAAUUGGUUUAAUCUACAGCACCUCUGUGUACCUUGCUGCAGUCUCAACUUAGAUUAUACAGCUUUGGGGUUACUUUGGAGGAUUCUUCAGGAAAGGAAGACACUUCCCUCCCUAUUCUGAUCUUUUGGAGGAGCCAUGCAAAAUUUUAUACAUUGCUGCUAUAAGUACCUCAGUAGUGAACCAUCCCUCUGCAGUUCUCAAGGACUGGCUUUGUGCAGGGAAUGCCCAUAGGGUUAAUCUUGUUCUUGUCUCCCAUCCCCACAAAUGAUCCAUACAGGUAAUUGCUGCAGAUAUGUGGCACUGGUAUGGGUCAGUUUGCAGGACUGAGACCAAAAAGCAUAAAUGGAAAUGAAACCAACCAAAGCAAAAAGAAAAUAGCCCUUAGUACAUGUUUAGUAACAAAAACCAAAGUGGUAAGUAGGAAAAGGAUGCAGAUCUCUCAGUGACAUUAUGGGCUACUAAUAAACACUUGGAAAAAAGCCAGAUGCUGGGCAGUCACCACUUCAUUCAAGCACAAUUAAACCCCCUCUAUUCCAUCAUAGUAUGGACAAAGUCGCAUACAGUUAAAUAAACAACUGAAAGCAUGAAUGAGAUUCUAAUAUACAGUAUUUUCACACAGCCAAAGCUAUUUUAUUUUACAAGACGAGGCUUUUGCGUUCAUCUUUUUUCUGAAAGCCCAGUAAAAACAGCGUAAACUACUUAAGCAAAAUUUAAGAGACAACUUACAAAGUAAAAUUUGCAUAGCACUGUAAAUCUGCGUGUUUGUUUGGGCACAGUUCUCUGUAAAAACUACAGUAGGUGACAGGGGUAGGUUUUCUUAAUAGCUUCUUGUUUUUCACCAGAUUCAGACACACUUCUUCUGAACAUCAUAAAAUCAAGUGUAGGAAACAACUGUAAAAAUGUACAAAAAUAUAUACACAUGCACAGUAAAUGCAUACCCUGUAUACAGUUUUAUUACUCGUUAGAUUUGGCUAAUAAUGAUCAUCUGGUGACUUACACUUCCCUCCAGGAAAUGACAGGUUUGCAACACAUCAAUCAGCUCCAGGAGGGUGAUUUUCCUCGGAGAGAAGGUUUGGAUUAAAGCUACAGUACUUGCUGGUGAUCUGAGGAGUGAGCGAGGCGCCGUUCAGGCGAGUUCAGCAUUCAGAUGUCACAAGGGACAGCUCGGACACAGCUGAAGCAAAGGGACACGAGGGGACACAGCUCGGCUCUCUGCACAGAUGCACAUGCACGGAAUAAAGGAGGUACACAGAACCCGCUCAUGCCUUGGGGUGUAAAAGUUAAUUCCUGAUUAGGCUCUGCUACCUACUCUUCCUUCCUUCGCAAAUUGUAUUUUAGUAAUUUGAACUCAGCGUGUUUUCCUUAAGAACGCACGCUGGCCAAAAUGAAAAAAGUUGUGUAAGACUGAAAAUUGGUAGUGGUAGUCCCCACAUUAAGGAAUACUUCUAAUUUAAAUUUUAAAAGUUCUAUUAUAUUCUGAUUGCUGCUGAAGUGUCUAAUUUUAAAAUUCACUUUUCUUCUAAAAAGAUAAAAUGCUGCUUCUGCUAGUGGUUUAUAGAAAUAGACUAUCUGCACUCAAGUGCUCUCAACAGUGAAAGUGCACAAAUAAUCUUUCUUUACAGUUUCAAAACCUGAACAGUGGCAUGUAACUACAGGUAUAACAUUUUAAGAAACACAGGCAGCUUUCUAAAAGCCUAGAGGGGCCAAGGAUCAGAGAAACACGUUUGUCUUAGAUGCCAAUCCCAUGUCUUCCCAAUUCUGAAGUAUGAAAUAUUUUCAUGACUUUUCCUGGUGGCUAACACACGUGGCACAGACCCUGUAACGUUGACUUCCAGAAGGUUCUCACUCCAAACCACAAGAGGUAAAUAACACACAACCAACAGCCUGCAAGCAUCUUGCUGCAGAGACAAUCAGAUAAACCAGCCUUAAAGAUAAACAGGGCAGAAUGAGAGUCCCCAUCUGAAACAAGCCCUCAGGAGGAAUUCUGACCCAAAUCACGUGAACAUGGCAAGGAUUAUUCUAAAAGUUGUUACACAGAGGUCUCACAUCCACAUUAGUCAGAGCUUGCCUCUCACAUAGUUGUCUCUGCU